rfam:Rattus norvegicus chromosome 7, whole genome shotgun sequence.
GGGGAUUUGGCUCAGUGGUAGAGCGCUUGCCUAGGAAGCGCAAGGCCCUGGGUUCGAUCCCCAGCCCCG